CAGUCGCCGCGGUAAUACGGAGGGUGCAAGCGUUAAUCGGAAUUACUGGGCGUAAAGCGCACGCAGGCGGUCUGACAAGUCAGAUGUGAAAUCCCCGGGCUUAACCUGGGAACUGCAUUUGAAACUGUCAGGCUGGAGUCUUGUAGAGGGGGGUGGAAUUCCAGGUGUAGCGGUGAAAUGCGUAGAGAUCUGGAGGAAUACCGGUGGCGAAGGCGGCCCCCUGGACAAAGACUGACGCUCAGGUGCGAAAGCGUGGGGAGCAAACAGGAUUAGAUACCCCCGAGUCCCUGUCUCUUAUACA
rnacentral:rRNA from 1 species